rnacentral:rRNA from 1 species
ACGAACGCUGGCGGCGCGCCUAACACAUGCAAGUCGAACGAGAGAUGAGGAGCUUGCUCUUCAGAUCGAGUGGCGAACGGGUGAGUAACGCGUGAGGAACCUGCCUCAAAGAGGGGGACAACAGUUGGAAACGACUGCUAAUACCGCAUAAGCCCACGGCUCGGCAUCGAGCAGAGGGAAAAGGAGUGAUCCGCUUUGAGAUGGCCUCGCGUCCGAUUAGCUAGUUGGUGAGGUAACGGCCCACCAAGGCGACGAUCGGUAGCCGGACUGAGAGGUUGAACGGCCACAUUGGGACUGAGACACGGCCCAGACUCCUACGGGAGGCAGCAGUGGGGAAUAUUGCACAAUGGGGGAAACCCUGAUGCAGCGACGCCGCGUGGAGGAAGAAGGUCUUCGGAUUGUAAACUCCUGUUGUUGAGGAAGAUAAUGACGGUACUCAACAAGGAAGUGACGGCUAACUACGUG